AUCUAAGUCACGCGGUCUCAAGUUCUCAGCGUCAGCUCUCACCAGACUUCCUUUCCUCACCUUGUCCCUUCAGGCCUCUGAAUGAGUCUCUAUCACCAUGAAGAAAAGAACAUGCCUGGGCUGCCCACAGUAACAAGGAGAAGGGUGGAAGACAGGUGAACAGACAGAGGCUCCCUAACCAAGUGCAGCCUAGAUGUCAAGACAGCUGCAAACAUGGAUAGGUGGGGGCGUCAAGGAUACAGCAGAUGGUUUCCUGUUUUGGGUGAACAACACUGACCUGCACAACUUUCCAAGUGGAAUCAACCACAACUAUGGCUUGCUUUGAGUCUAUAACCUUUCUGUCUCCAAGUGCAAUUUGUGGUGGAUGAUAAUACCAUGGCACAGUUCCACUUGGCAGCCCCCAAGCUUUCAAAAAAAAGGAAACAGAAAAGGGAGCUGUGAUAUUUAUUUCGCUAUUCAGCUUUUCAACAGCCUGAUAUGAAAAAUCAACUUUUCUCAAACCAGACAGCCAGCUUUUCAGACGCAAUGUCAUUGUUUUCUCUCUUGAGAGAAGCAACUAGAUUGUCAACCUAACUAAGCAUCAGAUGACUUUAUUACUAGGUCAUAAAGGAAAAAAUGUAUUAGGAAUCUGUGCUUUGGCAUUAGGCUGCUAUAAAAUAGCUCUAAUUAAGGUUAUGAAAAAUGAUGCUUUGGGAAAAAAGUAUUUGGUCUACAGUAGCUUCCCAAAAGGUCAACACCAGUGCUUUCAUUUAGACUCUGAAACCAAAAUUACUGCCUUUAGUGUUGAUGGAAAAAUUUUUAAAAAGUGUGAUGUAGUGAAAAUACCUCUGUGCUGGGAGUCAGAAAGUCUGAAUUCCAUUCCAGCUUUAGCUCUAAAGAAACCACAUGUCUCUGCAGGAGGGGAGGGCUAGCUUUGGACUGAGUUUAAUUCCAACUUUAUAAAGCUGAGAAACAGAGUCGGGCCUCGGUGCUCCAGGCAUAUUUGAGAUUUCUCUUGCAGGGGCUUAAAUAUCAUGUAACACAUCCUAAUCUGCCUGUGAUCUGGUCACCUGCAGCUAUGGUGUGGCCACUGGGAGGAAGAGAUUUUGUCUUAUUCAUCUCUGUAUCACCACUAUUUAGUUUAAUGAAGAAUUUAACAAAUAAUAGAUGCUUACUAGAUAGUUACAGUGUUUUAACCGUGUAGUCGGCA